AUUGAACGCUGGCGGCAGGCUUAACACAUGCAAGUCGAGCGGAGAUGAGGUGCUUGCACCUUAUCUUAGCGGCGGACGGGUGAGUAAUGCUUAGGAAUCUGCCAUUUAGUGGGGGACAACAUUCCGAAAGGAAUGCUAAUACCGCAUACGUCCUACGGGAGAAAGCAGGGGAUCUUCGGACCUUGCGCUAAAUGAUGAGCCUAAGUCGGAGUAGCUAGUUGGUGGGGUAAAGGCCUACCAAGGCGACGAUCUGUAGCGGGUCUGAGAGGAUGAUCCGCCACACUGGGACUGAGACGCGGCCCAGACUCUUACGGGAGGCAGCAGUGGGGAAUAUUGGACAAUGGGCGGAAGCCUGAUCCAGCCAUGCCGCGUGUGUGAAGAAGGCCUUUUGGUUGUAAAGCACUUUAAGCGAGGAGGAGGCUACUAGUACUAAUACUACUGGAUAGUGGACGUUACUCGCAGAAUAAGCACCAGCUAACUCUGUGCCAGCCGCCGCGGUAAGAC
rnacentral:rRNA from 1 species